AGAGAGAGAGAGAGAGGUAAUGUUUGACAAUCCUAUUCGAGUAUUCAAGUAUCUUUGAAGGUUUUAGUUAUUGGAGAUAACUAAGAUGGCUUUCAUGCAAUAUUUUGUUUUGUUACUUAUCAUUUCAGUUGUUUCAGUCACAAGUGAAAUGGUUGCACAAAAAAUAUGUAUAAAUGUGGCGCAACCGAGCAACUGCGGCUUUGACGUAUGUAAACUGCUUUGCAAAGAGUUAUUCAAAGACACAUUGGUCUCCGCCGAAUGCAUUAUUAAGAAUAUUCAUGGUCCAAGGGGAACUAACCAAUGUACUUGUUUCUAUCGUUGUUAACCUAUAAUUAUAUUAGUCUUGUACACAAAAUUGUCAGUUAAAUUAUAUAAAUAAGAUGCACUUGGUUUUUUAAAA